AGGGUAUGCCGUGUUCUUCUUUCCCAUCACCAGAACUGAUGGAGAUUAUAGUUGUGCAGACACUGAUGGAGAUUAUAGUUGUGCAGACGAUCUUUCAUCUUCUUCCUUACAGUUCGAAACGAUACAAGUAACCGAGUUAUCCUCUUUAAACUCUUCAUUAAUGGUCAUACACGGUCUACAAUCAAUGCGAAUUUUUGUUAUACAAGACGGUGGAUUUCGACUAUAAAAAGACUGUCCGCUCCUCUUCCACCGUUGAAGUUCGCUUGCUCUGUUUCUAAGAGGCCAGGAAACAAAUACGAUGUUGAUGUUAGUUUCUCUUUAAGAAACUAAACUGGUGCUGGUGUUAGUUUCUCUUUGGUCUCUUGAUUAAAAACUGUUUCUGAGUAGGUAUUUUGUUCUACGUUUAAUUGUGGAUUCCGUCCAAGCUCCCAAAGAAUUGUUGCUGGAAGAGUUGAAUCCAAACAGAAAAGUUUUAUUGUGCAGUUUUUUCUAAUAUGUUUCAUAAAUAUGCAGGUGAAACUUUGGACACCUUGAAGAGGGCGAUUUAUGUACGAGAUACAACUGCAAAAAGUGCGUUUGAAGCUAUUGAGAAUUCACUUGCAUUAUCUCCCAAACACAAAAGAACAGCAACACUCUCUAUACAGAGAUCAUGCGAGUAGAUCUCAGAGUUUGUUACUCAGAUUUCUAUCACUACUGCUGGAACUGGUAUCACUAAGCGGUUCACUGUGAUAUGUAGCCUUACUUCAAGUCGUGUACCUUUUUGCACAAACAAGUUCUUCAACACUGGACUUGGUUUCAGUUUGGUAAUAGUGUCUUGGGCUGUGGAUGGACUCAAGGAGAUGAUUACUUAAAGCAUGCCUUUUCAAUGGGUUAUGGCUUUUAAGUUAGCAAUGAGAACCAGAGUUAUAUCUGUGGAAGCAAAAGUUACGACCAGUAUUUUAUUUUUGAAUGGGAAACGUCUUAUUAUCCUUUGUAAAUUAUAUGUUUCUCCAAUGACCUGAAGAAUAUAUAAAUUGGUUUAUGUUUGUGAGAAUCAAGAACAAACAAAUACUUGAAUAUAAAACAUGUUUACCUAA